UACGUAGGGAGCAAGCGUUGUCCGGAAUCAUUGGGCGUAAAGCGCGCGUAGGUGGCCUCGUAAGUCCGCUGUGAAAGUCAAAGGCUCAACCUUUGAAAGCCGGUGGAUACUGUGGGGCUAGAGUACGGAAGAGGCGAGUGGAAUUCCUGGUGUAGCGGUGGAAUGUGCAGAUAUCAGGAGGAACACCAAUAGCGAAGGCAGCUCGCUGGGACGUAACUGACACUGAGGCGCGAAAGCGUGGGGAGCGAACAGG
rnacentral:rRNA from 1 species